UAGGGAAUCUUCCACAAUGGACGCAAGUCUGAUGGAGCAACGCCGCGUGAGUGAAGAAGGUUUUCGGAUCGUAAAGCUCUGUUGUUGGUGAAGAAGGAUAGAGGUAGUAACUGGCCUUUAUUUGACGGUAAUCAACCAGAAAGUCACGGCUAACUACGUGCCAGCAGCCGCGGUAAUACGUAGGUGGCAAGCGUUGUCCGGAUUUAUUGGGCGUAAAGCGAGCGCAGGCGGAAGAAUAAGUCUGAUGUGAAAGCCCUCGGCUUAACCGAGGAAUUGCAUCGGAAACUGUUU
rnacentral:rRNA from 1 species